rnacentral:rRNA from 1 species
UACGGGGGGAGCAAGCGUUGUUCGGAUUUACUGGGCGUAAAGGGCGCGUAGGCGGCGUGACAAGUCACUUGUGAAAUCUCCGGGCUUAACCCGGAACGGUCAAGCUGAUACUGUCGUGCUAGAGUACAGAAGGGGCAACUGGAAUUCUCGGUGUAGCGGUGAAAUGCGUAGAUAUCGAGAGGAACACCUGCGGCGAAGGCGGGUUGCUGGGCUGAUACUGACGCUGAGGCGCGAAAGCGUGGGGAGCGAACAG